CCGGGCGACGGUUGUCCCGGUUUAAGCGUGUAGGUGUGUGUUCCAGGUAAAUCCGGUUCACUUUAACACUGAGGCGUGAUGACGAGGCACUACGGUGCUGAAGCAACAAAUGCCCUGCUUCCAGGAAAAGCCUCUAAGCAUCAGGUAACAUCAAAUCGUACCCCAAACCGACACAGGUGGUCAGGUAGAGAAUACCAAGGCGCUUGAGAGAACUCGGGUGAAGGAACUAGGCAAAAUGGUGCCGUAACUUCGGGAGAAGGCACGCUGACACGUAGGUGAAGUGAUUUACUCACGGAGCUGAAGUCAGUCGAAGAUACCAGCUGGCUGCAACUGUUUAUUAAAAACACAGCACUGUGCAAACACGAAAGUGGA
rnacentral:rRNA from 1 species